UUGAGUGCUAAGAGAAUGGAUGAAUGGAGAAUUACUUUUUUUAUAAAAAUAUUAGAAUUUAAAUUAAAUAUUAAAAUGUUUUUAUAUAUUAAUGGGACAAGAAGACCCUAAAACCUUAUACUAUAUAUAUUAUGUAGUUUUUAUUGGGGCGAUAGAGAAAUAUUGAUAAACUUUAUUAAGAAUUUAUUUUUUAAAAAUUAAUUAAGGUACUUUAGGGAUAACAGCGUUAUUAUUUUAGAGAGUUCAUAUUGAAAAAAUAGUUUGCGACCUCGAUGUUGAAUUAAUGAGUCUGUUUGGUGUAGCAGCUAAAUUAGAGAGAUUGCUCAUCUUUUAAAUCAUUACUUGAUCUGAGUUCAGACCGGA
rnacentral:rRNA from 1 species